AGGCAAUACCAAUGCUUACGGAAAUACGAAGCUAUAGUAAAACAGGUUUGUGGAUCAUCUGUUUUUCGGUUUGAUGAGCUGAUCGACAUGAUGAAUGCUAGAACAAGACCGCCGAAGCGUCGUAGGGUCUCCUCCUCUUCGAGUUCGCGAGGGAGUGGUAGUGCCACCACUGCUGCACCUACGCCGGUUCAACCUGGCAUGGACGACUUAUUUGUGCAGACAAUAACAAGAUUUCUCGAUGAGCUAAAUACAACUACUU